CAGACACACACAAACAUGAAAUGUUUAAACUAGUAUAUUAAUACUCAAUAAGCAUGCUUAAACCCACACACAGAUGCACACAUUUAGUUAUAUAUAUAGAUAAUUAAAAUAAAUGAUGGGUGAUAAAACCUAUUGCAAGUCUUCUGUUUUUAUGGGCUUCUAUGUCAUUUUUCAGGUUUCAUUGCAAUCAUAAUCUGGCAUAAUUAUAAACAUUAGAUAUAUCUGUAUGAAUAAAUUGGUAAACUUUGACUCAAUGUGAUCUGAAAUGCUUGAACAGUAAUAUUAAAUAAUAGUAAUAUACAUUUUUUCUAGAUGAAUCCCUCAACAAGCCCAUAAACUGUAAUGUUUUAGUCUUUAGUGAGCUCAUUAGUGGUCUUCCGGUGACAUCUAGUGGUUAUAAUUGCAAUUUUUUAUUCAACACUGGGUUUUGAAGCUUUAUAAAUAUUACAGUGUUCUUUUUUACCUAAUCUCUGUUAAAUUUUGCAUGAUUGUUUAGAAAAAAUACAGAUCUAAUGCAUGUGUGAUUAUAUUACCCCUUUUUUUGCAGUUUAAUGCCAUUCACAACAGAAAUCUUUUGUUUUUUAGGCCAUUUUAACUGUUAUAGCACCAGCUAUUUUCUGAUCUUAAUGAAACUUUGCAUGCUUGGUGGGUCAUCUUUCACAUGUUAUAACCAAGUUUCAUAAAGUUUUGAGUUUUUGUUUCAGUUUUAUAGGCUUUAGGUUACAUGUGGCCACGGCCCUUUCCUAAAUGACCUCUUAUAGCUAACCAAAGGACAAAAUGCAACAUAUUUUUGAAAAUUAUUGAUCUAGAGAGUCCAGAGAAUAUUAUUGCAGUGGUUUGAUCAAGACUGAACAAAAAACCAGGUGACCCAAAACAUUCAAAUUCGUGGACCAAUUUUACAAAAAAGGCUAUAACUCGGGAACAAAAUGAGAUAUCUUCACCAAACUCAGAACUCAUAUGCAUGAACAAAAACUUUAGUCAAAUUAUUAUUUUUUUUCCAUAUCUGCCACUUGGUAGCGCUACAGGAUGAAAAAAAAUCAAAUGGCUAUAACUAAGCAACCGUUGAUCCAAUCAACUUGAAAAUUGAUAUGGCCCAAUGUGGCACAAGUGCUCUAUGAGGAAUUUCACUUAUCUUAAAAAACAUGGCCGCCAUUGGCCAAACAACUUUAAGCACCUAUUUGACAAGGUUAAUGGAAGUCGAUCGGAACGAAACUCGGUGGGCAUGUUCGACUCAUUGCCCUAAAGGUCUGUAAGUAUUUUGAAAGAAAUUGACCACAACAUUGUCACCUCCCACAGAACACAACAAAGCGAUUUGAUUACAGCGCCACCUAUUUUCCAAAAAUGAUAAUGCAUCAUUUUACUGGAGUUUUACUGGCUGUUUCAAUUACACUCUUCCAAUAAUUGCUUUUCUUACUUGUUGCAUUUGGUCUGAUGCUCCAUGCCAUGCUUAGCUCCUCGCUGUGGAACUUUUAUUAACGAUUUUCAGCCAUUUCAAUUACAAUCAUGCAAUUAUUAAUUUCAUUAUUCAUUGUUGCAUUUGGUCUGAUGCUACAUAUGCUUAGCUCCUGAUGUUGCCGCUGGAAUGCUUGGCCCCGUGAUUGCUGCUUGCAGCUAUAUUUCUUCUUCUUCUUCUUCUUCCGCCGCAAGUCUAUGGCAGCCCAUAGAACCGUUUGCGGGAAAGUUGUAUAAUUUGGCACACUGAUAGAGGACAGUCCCAACAUUAACUAUAGCAAAUUUGAAGCCUCUAACUCCUACUCUCUAGCGCCACCACUUGUCCAAACUUUCAAUGUUUGUAUGCUAAUAACUUUUGAACCGUAAGCCAGAAAAUGGAAAUUCUUUUUUCCUCUGAAUCCUUGGCUCAGGCCAAGUCGAAUGAACCCUAAAAUUCAAAAAUCGCAAGGUUUAGUUUUUUCGCUAUUUUCAAUUAUUCGAAAAACCUACUUUUUCGAACUCGUCCUAGACGGUUAGUCCGAUUGCCACGAAAAUUGGCUCAGAUCAUCUUCAGACCAUGCUGGCAAAAAGUUAUGGAAUUCAAGUUGAUUCGUCCAACUGUUGUCGAAUGACACGUAAACAAAUUUGACGAAAAGCACGCAAACAUGCACGUGAGGCUAUAUCCCGGCAACGGUUUGUCAUAUUGAGACCAAACUUGGCGUGUGUUAUAACAAGCAUGAACUGAGACUACCUGCUGUGUUUCGACACAGCGCCACCUAGUGGUCAGGAGAUAUGAAAAAUGCAUAUUUUGGCUUAUAACUACUGAAUGGUUUGGCCAAAAAUCACACAACUGGUCUCUUUAGAUUCAGUGAGUCAUGUCGAGUCGAAUGAUAUCCAAUUUUCCUGUGUCGGCCAUUUUAGGCGUCGGCCAUUUUGAAUUAUGUUUCAAAAUGCUGUAUUUUUUGAACGCAGCAUCGUAUCGUUUCGCAAAUAAUUACAAAAAUAUUCGGCUCCAUGCCCUGAAGAUACUCAAAAAGUUUGGUGGCAGCGCCACCUUGUGGCCAAUAGUUAUAAUGAAA